UGGGGAAUUUUGCACAAUGGGGGAAACCCUGAUGCAGCGACGCCGCGUGAUUUAGAAGGCCUUCGGGUUGUAAAAAUCUUUUUCAUGGGAUGAAAAUGACAGUACCAUAAGAAUAAGGUCCAGCUAAAUACGUGCCAGCAGCCGCGGUAAUACGUAUGGACCGAGCGUUGUCCGGAAUCAUUGGGCGUAAAGGGUACGUAGGCGGCCCAGUAAGUCAGAAGUGAAAUAAUAUAGCUCAACUAUAUAAAGCUUUUAAAACUGCUAGGCUUGAGAGAUGGAAGGGAAAGUGGAAUUCCUAGUGUAGCGGUGAAAUGCGCAGAUAUUAGGAAGAAUACCGGUGGCGAAGGCGACUUUCUGGUCAUCAUCUGACGCUGAGGUACGAAAGCGUGGGUAGCAAACAGG
rnacentral:rRNA from 1 species